CGAGUGCAUGCUCAAAGCCGAAUGUUUAUUAAUGCCUUAUUUAUAACGUCCGUCCUCGCGCACGAUCGGCUUGCAACUUUUGUUUUCACGACCAGUCACGCGUUUCCCAGUCGCGUGAACUCGCAUCUGCAACCACACGAUGAUCGUCGUCGUAAAACUGAGCCUAGUCCUGACGUCGGUUCUAGUAUCCGGUGCGAAGCUAAGUACCGGUCCAGCCGAGGUGCACAUGCAAUGGGACUACGUGAACUACAGCUGGCCGUCGUGGGAAGCCUACGAACAGGCGGUAGCCGACAAGUCUUACAUUCGGGAGAACAACGUUGUGUCGGGUAUCAAGCUAUGGCGUGACAGGUUGUACCUAGCUGUACCGCGUCAAAAGCCUGGUAUUCCCGUGACACUGACCUCGAUUCAUGCUGAACCCGAGGACAGGUCGGUAGCGCCGUUGUUAGAGCCGUUUCCUAGCUGGGAGAUGCAGAAGCUCGGUGAUUGCAAAGCGCUGCAGUUUGUUCAGAGUAUGGAGAUCGAUCCGAUGGGCAGGAUGUGGGUCAUCAACAACGGCAGGAUUGACGUGAGGACGAACCAUUCCAAGUCGCUGUGUCCGUCACGGAUGAUGAUCUUCGACCUGGAGAACGAUGGCGAACUGCUGCUGGACUACGCGUUCCCAGAGGGUGUGAUCAACUCGUCUUCGGUAUACCUGAACGAUUUAGUCGUGGACCACGAGGACGGCGGCUUCGCCUACAUCAGCGACAACGACCCGAGUAAUCCAGGCGUCCUAGUGUUCUCCCUCAGGCGAAGAAGCUCCUGGAAGGUAACCCAUCACCCGUCGAUGUUCGCCAGUCCUGAUGCACGGAACAUUGUGGUCAACUCGACCCAUCUGACCAUCGACAGUAACAUCGACGGCAUCGCUUUGUCUCCUGCUUCAACGGAAGGUCGAGGUAGGACCCUGUUCUACUGUCCGCUGUCUUCGUACGAAACCUUCGCUGUGCCCACGUUCGUACUGAAGAACCCACGAAACCGAGGCCUGGUGAACAAGUACGUCAAGAGUCUUGGUCGAAAGCCAUCUCAGGGCGAUGGGAUGACGGUGACCUCGGCAGGAGUCCUCUACUUUGGUCUUCUACAGAAAAACGCGAUCGGAGCCUGGGACACCAAGGAUCCGCCCUUCAGCGACAACAUACAGAUUCUGACGGAGGAUCUGGAAUUGGUUGAGUGGCCGGACUCGUUCGCAAUCGACUCCAAGGGCAGACUCUGGAACACUGCCAAGAGACAAUCCGUUAUCAGGACUAGCGGGGUGGACAAAAGUGUUCCGAACUUUAGAAUUUUAAGGAUAGACAUAGGUGUUCGAGGCUAUCAGUAUUACGAGGACGGGAGUGCGCCGGUGUUGCCGGAGAUAACGAAUCAAAGCGAGUCGUUGCUUGGAAAGCUGAUGGGAAAUCUGGGGCACGCGGUGAGACACCUCACGCGGAAUGUGCUUUCGAUGCCGUUUUUCAGGCAAUGACCGAUUUUUUUUUUUUUUUUUUUUUUGUUGACUUUCCGUUUUCGACAAUAAAUGGUUGUACGUAACUUUUCUUUUUAUUUCUAACCAAACCAUUAAUUUCUCACUCGACUUCAUUAUAAUCAGAGAACGUGAUGAUACGCGCUGCUCCGAGGUAAGUAUCACAAAUAUCUUCUGUCGUGUCACAAUUAUCUUGCGCCAUUCUCUGUUGCCGUUGCUUCGCUUAACUUUCAGCGUCAGUUUGCAAAUUCUUAUAAUAAGCAACGGUCAAAAUAUGUUAGUUUCUCCAAUAGCCCUUGUCCUCGUAGCACAUCUGCUCAACCCUAUCUCAGCGCAACUGUCCAAUGCCAGAGUCCAUUACCAAUGGAACUACGUGAACUACACCUGGCCAUCAUCUCAGGCUCAUGACCAAGCGAUCCUGGACGGUUCGUACAUCCCCGAACACAAUGUCAUAAGCGGCGUGAAGGUGUGGAAGGAUCGCAUCUACCUAACAGUUCCGCGUCUGAAGAAGGGAGUUCCCUCGACCUUGAACUUUGUUCCUCUCGACUCUUCGAACCCCAGUCCUCUGCUGCGACCUUAUCCGAGUUGGUCCAUGCAGCGGGAGGACGACUGCAACUCCUUCCAGCUGGUUCAGAGUAUGGAGAUCGAUCCCCUGGGCAGAAUGUGGGUCAUCAACAACGGCAGGACUGAGUUGAGAAGUAACCAGUCGAGGUCCAUCUGUCCCUCUCGCCUGGUGAUCCUCGACCUGGAAAAAGACGGUGAGAUCAUUUUGAACUACAUCUUCCCCGACAACGUUGUGCAGUCUGAGUCGGUUUACCUGAAUGACAUCGUCGUGGAUCACGAGGACGGUGGUUUCGCCUACAUCACUGACAACGACUUGAAGCAUCCGGGGAUAGUUGUGUUCUCGCUGAGACAAAGACGCUCCUGGAAGGUGAGCCACGAGAGUAUGGAAGUUCAGGACGAAGCUGUCCUGAUGAGCAUCAACGGAACGACCUUCAGCAAUAAGUCACCUGUGAACGGUAUUGGCCUGUCGCAAGCGUCUGGUAGAAAUCGGUGCCUCUACUACUUUCCAAUUUCUUCAUUCGAACUCUCCGCUGUACCAACUUGGGUAUUGAAAAAGCGUUAUCGGAGUAUCGAUAAGUUCGUCGUCAAAGUUGGAAGAAAACCGUCGCAGUCCGGAGGUAUGAUGGUAUCAUCAACAGGCAUCCUGUACUUCGGCCUUUUGGGUGAAGACGCAGUAUCCUCUUGGAAUACCGCAUCACCACCUUUCACCGAUAACCAACGCAUAGUCAUCCAAGAUCAUGAACUAUCGCAAUACCCGGACAGCUUCGCCCUGGACGAACGCAGCCAUCUCUGGUACACGUCGAACAGAUUGCAGGUCUUCAUUACUGACAAAGUCGACGUGGAUAGGAUCAACAUCAGGCUGAUCGUUGCUGACAUCGAAGCCAAGAACUAUCAAUACUUUAAAGACGGCAGUGCUCCCAAGUUGCCGAAGAUCGGAGAAACGCGACUGAGAAAUUUCGUUCAGAAACGAUUGUUGAUUAUGUGACAUAAUUAUAUAUUAUGCAAGCUAAAUUCUUGUAUAAAUCAGUAUACAUGUA